CUUCGGACACGCAGCUGUUCUCCGCUAGGAACUCCUGCCGGGCCGACUUCAGCUCCUGCCUCAGCCGGCGCUCGUAGGGCAGCUCGAUCGCAGAGAAAAUGCCGGCGCCAGCGAGAAGCUCUCGGAGAGAAUAGGAGCGGGUGGCAGUGACGUCAGCGAUACACCGGACCAGGUCAAGCCAUGGUUGGGCCAGCCAUCCAGAUCAGAGUCUUCGCCACACAAGAAGCCAUCACCAGCAAACCCCACAGCACACAUACACUUGAACAAGAC